GACGAACGCUGGCGGCGUGCUUGACACAUGCAAGUCGAACGGAAAGGCCUGCUUUCCCUUGUGGAUUGCGGGUACUCGAGUGGCGAACGGGUGAGUGACACGUGAGUGAUCUGCCCCCAACUUGGGUAUAAGCCUGGGAAACUGGGUCUAAUUCCCGAUAGGACUGCAGGGUGGUGCCUGUGGUGGAAAACGAUUUUCUAGUGGUUGGGGAUGAGCUCGCGGCCUAUCAGCUUGUUGGUGGGGUAAUGGCCUACCAAGGCGGCGACGGGUAGCCGGCCUGAGAGGGUGGACGGCCACAUUGGGACUGAGAUACGGCCCAGACUCCUACGGGAGGCAGCAGUGGGGAAUAUUGCACAAUGGGCGGAAGCCUGAUGCAGCGACGCCGCGUGGGGGAUGACGGCCUUCGGGUUGUAAACUCCUUUCGACCGCGAGGAAGCCACCUGGUUGGAAGGGUGGUGACGGUAGUGGUAGAAGAAGCACCGGCUAACUACGUG
rnacentral:rRNA from 1 species